CAGGCCACGAAGGGUGGUCAAUAAUCCAUUUAGGUGACUCAUCGAACCCCAAUUUGACCGCUCACAUCGCUCCUUGACACGAAGGCUUGCUUCCCUUUCUUGUUUUUGGUGGCGUCUAUAGCGAAGAAGACCUCCGCGAAUGAGGGAGAGUCGAGCAUUGUGGCGGCCACGUACUCGUGGCUGCUUAGAUACUACAACAAGCCUGCAAGAGCACCGCCCAGGUAUAGAAGCUGUUACCAAUAGCAGGUAACAACCAGACGAUGGUAUGUUGCUGGGGACACGAUAAGAAGAGGAUGUGGGGAAAAAGGGGCACUAGGGGCUGUGCUAGUGUUGUGGUGGACAUGACACCACACCACCAACUCCUAGUCAUUCUCUGAGCAACAGUGUCGUGGUGGAUGAGCUCCAUGAACCCAGCAAUGGAAGAGUAGAGUAGAGGAUUGAGGAAGCAUUGAGCAAUUAUAGUGCAUGGACAGAGAUACCAUCAGUACAAGAUAAUCAUGUUGGUGUAGGAUUUCCAACUUAUGAAUGAAGAGUGUUGGCUACAAUGGUAUCUCUUAUCUAUUACUAGUGGGCAUGCUAACUCGGUCACACCGAAACAGAAUCACCUUCUAAUCUUUGCAAAGCUCCCCUUGGUGGUGUCUAUAGCGAAGAAGACCUUCCCGAACGAGGGAGAGUCGGGCAUUGUGGCGGCCAAGUACUCGUGGCUGCUUAGAUACUACAACGAGCCUACAAGAGCACCUUCCAGAAUGAUGCACCCUGGAGCCCAACACAGGUCUCCUGCACAGCCGUCGUUGUCUUAAAUGUGCGCUGGUCUCAAACAACACCUCCCCACACAGCUUGUAGCUGCUGUGAGCGUAUCCCACUGAGGGAUCCGGCGCUGCUGCUGGGCUGACUGUGGCCCACCAUGCUUCGUGUGAAUAGGUAGGCUUGGCUGUCCCUAGGCUUUGCCUACCUCAUCGUCGUUGUGCUGCAACCGCGGUGGCGGUCCUGUGUCAGCCUUGGCUGGACCCCUCUCCGGUACAGAAGCUGUGACCAAUAGUAACUUGGCUAAGCCUGGGACUGGGAGGAGCUAUAGCAGGUAACAACCAGACGAUGGUAUGUUGCUGGGGACACGAUCAGAAGAUGAGGUGAGGAAAAAGGGGCACUAGGGUCUCUGCCAGUGUUGUCGUGCACAUGGCACCACACCACCACCUCCUACUCAUUCUCUGAAGCAACAGUGUCGUGGUGAUGAGCUCCAUGGACCCAACAAUGGAAGGGCAGAGUAGAGGAUUGAGGAAGCAUUGAGCAAUUAUAGUGCACGAACAGAGAUACCAUCAUUACAAGAUUACCAUGUUGGUGUAGGAUUUCCAACUGAUGAAUGAAGAGG